AAGUGAAAGUCCGGUAUUGCAGACGGAUAAUGUUGCGUGAUUCAGCCAGGGGUGCAUUUCUUGAAAGCGUCGUUAGUCAGCUACGGUUGUUUGUCCCAUUGAACUCUAUUGAUAACGACAGAACUUGCGACCAUAGUUCGCUUUGGGAAAUGCACCCCUGUCCGACAAUCGCUCUUUUCUCUUUGGCAACAUUAUUCACUGCCUCUAGACUUGGCACCUGCACACAGUGCCAAAGCUACCAGUACCUGGUUUAAGGACCACGGUAUCCCUGUUCUUAAUUGGUCAGCAAACUCGCCUGACCUUAACCCCAUAGAAAAUCUAUGGGGUAUUGUGAAGAGGAAGAUGCGAUAUGCCAGACCCAACAAUGCAGAAGAGCUGAAGGCCACUAUCAGAGCAACCUGGGCUCUUAUAACACCUGAGCAGUGCCACAGACUGAUCGACUCCAUGCCUCGCCGCAUUGCUGCAGUAAUUCAGGCAAAAGGAGCCCCAACUAAGUAUUGAGUGCUGUACAUGCUCAUACUUUUCAUGUUCAUACUUUUCAGUUGGCCAAGAUUUAUAAAAAUCCUUUCUUUGUAUUGGUCUUAAGUAAUAUUCUAAUUUUCUGAGAUACUGAAUUUGGGAUUUUCCUUAGUUGUCAAUUAUAAUCCUCAAAAUUAAAAGAAAUAAACAUUUGAAAUAUAUCAGUCUGUGUGUAAUGAAUGAAUAUAAUAUACAAGUUUCACUUUUUGAAUGGAAUUAGUGAAAUAAACCAACUUUUUGAUGAUAUUCUAAUUAUAUGACCAGCACCUGUAUAAUGUAUUGUGCAUGUUUCUGCCCUUUCAAACUCUACUGUAUAUUAUACCGUAUGCUGCUUAUCUACAGACCAUAUUUCAAUUAACAAUUUUCUUUUGAUAGGCCAUCAUAUAUGGCCUGGCUGGGCUUCAGAAUUUGUCUGUGCGGGAUGAGUAGAAAAUUGAAUUGUUUUUACACAAUGUCCAAUGUAUCCUUUUUUUUUAACAGCAUUUCUGUUAACCCAGCAGUGAAUAUGUUCUUUAUUUACUAUUUCAGUGAAGUGGAGGAAUUUAAUAGAAUGAUAAAGAAACAAUUGGGAAAAGAGGGGAGAGCAUCCAUUGGUAGGUAGUGCUGCUGCAUACAUCAAAAUGUGUGCUUUAAAUAUUUAAAGGACAGGAAAAGUCAUGUCAAUAGCAUGUUAUUUCUAUUCAGAUUUCUUGCAUCUCCCUCUAUUCAUUUUUUUUUUUUUUUUUAUCGGUUCAGAUGGGCUUUAUUGACAUGAAUGGUUCAAGAACCUUUGUUCCUACAUCAAAAUGAUUUUUUUUCCCCCAAAUCUUUGAACGGAGUCAGUGAAGACGUUGUCCAUGAAGUUCUUCCUAUGUGGUUCACGUCAUGAACAAAUUUGUUUUUGUGUGUGUUCAAAUUCAACUGUUGCAAUAUAUUAUUUUAUAAAAUAUACACAAACUUAAAUCUACCCCCAGAGUCAUCCUUGUGUAUUCCCUCUGUACUUGAAAAUGUGAUUGACUGAAAAGGCUAUACCAUCAUUCCUUGUUUAUUUUACUUGAUGAGUUAUUAAAUUAUGCAACUUAGACCCAAUAAUUACUCAACAUUCCUAGAAACCAGAUUUAAUUGCAAUAAAGGAAGCAGUAUUUGGGUGUAAUAAACCUUUAAAAAACUCUAAAACUCUAAAAGUAGUUAAAAUUGGGUGAAAAUACUGCCUUGGUGGCAGUUUUUUCGGUCCUCCAAAACAAGGGUCCUGGAAAUGCGUUCCUGGGACUGCGGUUCUCCGAUUCGGUAGGUGGCGCUGUCACAAAAAAAACUAGGGUCCUAGAAUGCGGUGCCAGAACGGGGCACUGCAAGCUUUUGAGCUCCUUUAUGAAAACUGAAGACUGAUUAAUAAUAGCCUAUAUAGUGAUUUAAAUGCUAUUUAGAUAGACUAUUUGUAACGAUGGUUUAAACCAAUAAAAAGGGCUUAUCAUGAUCGAAAAUGAUAAAUGGAAUCGACAGAUCGGGAAGUGUUUUAAAAUGUGCCGCAGAAUGCUCUGUGAACAUCUUCACUGUGAGUCUGUGAACAAACUGAACAAGAGUGCGGAAGUGCACGUUUAGCCCUCAAAGGCUGAAUCCCUUAACGGAACAUUUCUAUGCACCUCCAUCUUGUGUUUUUGGCUUGGUCUGUCUGGCAGGAGGAAGGAGAACAAAUGAAUAUGCAUUUUGCUUCUCCGACUGACAGGACGAGGGAGACGAACUGAAAUCAAACGAGAAUUUUUUUUGUCACUUUAGUCGGUAUUUAAUUUUACAUUCAAACAGGCGAGUCGACAUCCCUAGCCUAUUUUGAGUAAAUCUCGGAGAUUCUCCACAGUUUUGUUAAAGAUGAAAUUAAUUUCCACUGUCUUCAUAUUAGUUAACUUUGCAUCGGUUUCAGUCGAUGCUGAUGGGUCAAAGAUCGAGGCAAACCAUGGAGAAGAUGUUACACUGUCCUUCCCAAUGGAUAAAGUGGAGGAAGCCUAUGAAUUGAGGAUAAUGUUUACAUCAGAAUCUACGAAAAAGACUCGUUUGAUCGCACUGGGCUGUUCCGGUUCUGAAAGCUGUGAUGUUGUGGAAGAAACUGGAGUCAAACUGAUGGUUGAAGGAGGAUUCGUGUCUGUAACCAUUAAGAAAGUUGACAGCUCCAGAUCAGGACUCUAUGAAGCAGAACCUGUUGGAACGCACAUGCCUGAUGUGAAUCCUAUUACACUUGUUGUCAACGAAGCAUACUUUACCUCCACUACAGCUCCUCCACACUCCUCCACCCCAAAACCUCCCAACUCCUCUCACCUCCUCUGGCUGUGUGCUUUAAUUCCUCUAGUCAUUGUCAUCUCAGGGGUCGUUUAAUUCUGGAAACGCAGGAG